ensembl:snRNA U6 U6 spliceosomal RNA
GUGCUGGCUUCAGUGGCACAUCUACUAAAAUUGGAACUGUACAGAGGUUAGUGGCCCUUGUGCAAAGAUGACAAGUAAAUUCGUGAAGUGCUCCAGAUUUUA